rnacentral:rRNA from 1 species
UAGGGAAUCUUCGGCAAUGGGGGCAACCCUGACCGAGCAACGCCGCGUGAGUGAAGAAGGUUUUCGGAUCGUAAAGCUCUGUUGUAAGUCAAGAACGAGUGUGAGAGUGGAAAGUUCACACUGUGACGGUAGCUUACCAGAAAGGGACGGCUAACUACGUGCCAGCAGCCGCGGUAAUACGUAGGUCCCGAGCGUUGUCCGGAUUUAUUGGGCGUAAAGCGAGCGCAGGCGGUUUGAUAAGUCUGAAGUUAAAGGCUGUGGCUCAACCAUAGUUCGCUUUGGAAACUGUCAAACUUGAGUGCAGAAGGGGAGAGUGGAAUUCCAUGUGUAGCGGUGAAAUGCGUAGAUAUAUGGAGGAACACCGGUGGCGAAAGCGGCUCUCUGGUCUGUAACUGACGCUGAGGCUCGAAAGCGUGGGGAGCGAACAGGAUUAGAUACCCUGGUAGUCCACGUCGUAAACGAUGAGUGCUAGGUGUUAGACCCUUUCCGGGGUUUAGUGCCGUAGCUAACGCAUUAAGCACUCCGCCUGGGGAGUACGACCGCAAGGUUG